UUCUUCACUGCUACAGCCAGAGGGGAUGAAUGAUGGACUGUUUUCCUCUCCCAGAAACAGCGUGCCGGGGCUCUGACAGGGGAAUCACACGAAAGCAGAGCGCAGAAAAUCUUUGAGAGAGAAGCCAAGAGUGAGAUAUAAUGGCAAAAACAGAGGCCCAUCUGAUUUUUCUAUAGUGGCUGUAACUGGGUUUAAUCAGCCUUUUAUGGAGAGAAAUUUGCUGUCAUCUUUGCUCAGAUACCUUAUAUAAUUGCUACUUAAUUAUAGACACUUACCUUGGUGCUGCCUGCUAUGCACUCUGGUUCCUCAAGCAUAAAAUGCCUCUAAUCUCACGGCUAUUAUGGAAAUUUUCUUCCUAGCUGCAUGCCUGCAGGAAAGCCAGCAAGCAGCAAUGCAGGAGAGAGGGUGGGGGCUUCUUGGAGGUCUCUUUGUAAAACAUCUGACGUUCAGUGUAGAUGGAGAUGGUUCACUAGGCUGAACACACAGUUUAGAGACUGGAGGAAGGAAAAGAUCCCAUAUUGUUAAAAUAUUUCCCCUGACUUUAACUAAAUUGAAACAGGUUUCUGUGGGAGUUUUUAAACUGCCUUAGAUUUUCACACUCACCUGGUUACAAAGGCCAUUUCAUCCUCUUCUUCUGAAUUGUAUGUGUUGCUUCCUCCCCCAUGUGAAAGAAUAAAAAAAUCAACUGAUAACAGUCUCAGACUCGGCAGGUAACAGCUGACCUGAGCUUUUGCUCUCAUAAUAUUUUCAUAUCAUAAUAUGAAACACUGAAAGUUUUCCUGGCUUAGUGGAAGACAUUCAUUCAAUCCUCAAGGAGUGCUUGGACGCUACCCAGUAAUGGCUCAUGGAGUUUAGACCUUCCUUGGGUCUGGUGCUGACCGGUAGAGGAGAGGAAAUUCUCCCUUUUGAUUAAAGCAGUGGGUACCCCAAACAUGAACCUGUGUGUGAGCUUUGCUUGACAGAGUGCCCUGUUGGUUCUGCAGGAGCCAUCUCCAGUGAGCACUGAGUGCCACAUCCAGUCCUGCCUUGGAUACCUCAUGGGGUGGUGGCAAAUCAAGAUCCUCUUGACUUCAGCCUUCAGAUCCUCAGAAUUCAGCAUGGAUGGCAUUAAGAAGCCCAACUUGCAUUGCUGCUGGUUUCUACUUGCUAGCUGAACUAAAGAAAAUGAUUCGUCUUUCUUGCUACUUCUAGUUCUAAGCUGACCAACUGAAGAAUGGGCCAUUUAAAGCAAGUCUCUGCAUAAAAAGUGUUAAAAAUGCCCUUAAAUUGGUACUACUGUACCAUGUCCCGAAACAACAUUUUUAUCACAAACCCGUUGCAUUUCCUUUUGUUUUUUCUCUUUUUUUUUUGGCACGCUAUAUAAAUCUAUGUCUUUCAUAUAUUUAUGGGAGCGCCCUACUGUUGCUGUUCUGGAGUUAAUCUGACACAAUAAAAAAUAUCCUCCUUGCAUUCCUCUGCAAAGCAAAAUCCAACCUCUGAAGCACCAGUGUUCCAUCAGACCCGUGUUCUUCAGGCAGAGCCUAGCUACCAAAGACAGUGCAGUUCUGAAAUGACAGUUCUCUACAUUGAGAUCCAUGAUUCUCUACGGUUCAUAUUUCUGGGGCAAAAAAAAACCCCUACUGUUUAUCAGUUAGGAGCAACCACGACCAUUAUUCUAAUUUCAGCUGCCCAUUAGGUCUAAACUUUCCCUGGUCCCACCUUUUGUGUUGCUUUGCAUUCCCAGUCCUGGAUUUGUCAGAGGGCUCUGAGAAAAGGCUGUGGCUAAAGUCCUGUGUCACAGAAGCAGGACUGGUCCCCUGGAGACAUUUUUGGUCAAUGGCUUCACGUACUCAUCUUGCACGUGUGCUUCAGUCAGCUCUUCCUGAUGGGUUUGCCAUGCUGCCCGUGGAUCACAGAGUCAAUCUUGACAUCACCCAAGGAAUACUCUGUCUUUUCCACAGGAGAACAAUCUAGCCCUGUGCUUCCUCACAUAUGGAACAGAGGAAGGAGCAGCAUUUCCAAGAUGCUGCGGAGGAUGAACUGAGGGUGACUUGGAAUGGGUGGCUGCUCCACACGAAGCUGGGAGCUAAGCCUCCAACGAAAAGUAGUUUCACCAGAGAAGUUAUGCCUUCCCAUCUGUUCCUUGGAUUUAGAUUCCUCGUGUUUUAUUGUGUUCGUAUUAUCAUACAGCUCUAUGUCUGGCAUAGGUAUUAAAACGUCUGGGUGUGCAGGUUCCAUAAUCUUGCUGCUGGCUUGGACUUUCUUGGGCUGCAGGACUUGGUUUGCUGCAUUUUUAUUGUUACCACUGUAAUUGUAUUGUGAGGGCUCUUGCUCCAGCUCUGGCUUGUUAAAUAAACAGAACAUAUCCUUGUGUCUCAUGCCUCCGCGUCUGGAAGGGAUUUAAACCUCUUCUUUUGUCUGCGUGUUUUGGCUGAACUAAGAUUUUCUCUUGAAAGACCCUGUGAGUUUCAGGGUCUGUGUGUAUUAUACAGAGUUUGCUUUCAUUAAGUUGUGAGUUAUUACAGCUUUGUUUGUGCUUGGGGUGUUGAGA